rnacentral:misc_RNA from 1 species
CGCUGACGGACGGACUCAAGUGCGCGCAUACGCAACACUCCCUUCUCAUUUUUGCCUGUACGUCCGCCAAGUCAUCAUCAUGGGCAAGAAGGCGGAGUUCGCCCGAUCCCGCUUCAAGGAGGCGCGGCAGAAGCGCGAAGAGCGCAUGCAGCGCUCUCGAGCGGAGCGGGACCGGCGCCACGGCAUCGACAAGUUGGCGCGCAAGAUCGACAAAGUUGUUGUCCAGCGACCCCUCCCGAACGAAGCGCAGCAAGCGCUUCUGCUUGCUCAGUUUGCGCAAGCGUGCCGACUGGUCGCUCCCAGCACGGACAUGUGCAUCCUCAUGCGUCACUACGCCAAGGUAGCGGAGGCAGCGGAGCAGAAGAGCGAAUCGACGACGAUGGUGACGGCAAGUGCGUCAUCGAGCAAGUCAACCACCCGCAAGCGCAAGCGUGACGAGGCGGAGGAGGAAGAGGAGGCACCCGCUGCAGGCGCCGCCUUUCUCGACACCGUUGCAGAUGCGCUGCUGCGGACCCAGAACGCACCAGCAGUCAUCGAAGAAGCCGCGGUCAGCGCGAAGGACGGGGAGAACGCUCUGGGCGACGACGACGACGACGACACAGUGACGGUGUUGCAGGACAUCCUGCAGGAUGACAGCGGCCGCCGUGUGGUCGCCACCCUUCUGGCCUCCUUGAACGCGGUGCGCAGCAGCAAGUGCGAGGCGGUAGCAAAGGCCGUGCUGGAGCAAUUCGAAGAGAACGAGCAUCUCCCUCAGCACCAUGUGGCGUGUCGCGUCAUGAGCGCCCUCGCGCAGUUCGGCUCAGAUGCGACGCGGCAGGGUGUUCUGAACCUGCUGCGCCAGCGCAGCACAACCAUCGAGGGUGUGGAGCGCUUGCUCUCUGACCGCCACACCGCCGGCACCAUCGAGCAGCUCCUAAAGAGCUACGGUCCGGAAACCGCUGCCUGGCUCUGCGAGGUGCUCUCCCUCUCCACCCCCGUCACCUCGUCCUCUGCUGCAGAAGCCGGGGGCAGGAAAAAGAAGGCCGCCAAGCAGCGCGGCGCGGCCGCUGAAGAGACGGCGUCUGGCGAGCGCAUCACCACCGAGAAGCUCAUGGAGCUCGUUAAUGGUCCGGUGUCAGGUCAGGUGCUUCUUCAGCUGCUCCGCACCGACGCCCGUCGCGAGCUGCUGAAGCGCCUGCCUAUCGUUGAACUCCUCCGAAGCAAGCGCGGCACCGCGUUCCUCACGCAGCUGUUGACGCUGACGGCCUCCGUCGCCUCAAGCGAGGGCAGAGAGGCAGAGGCGGUGGCUCUCUUUAGCGACGUACUGGAGCGUCUCGGGAGUGACCUGGGCGAGAUGGCGAUUGACAAGCGUGCGAACUUCGUUGUUCAGGCGCUGAUCCAACUUCUGCCGGUCAUGGGGCCUCAGAGCACGAAGCAGCUGGAGCGCCUAGAGCUCGGGCUGGGAGGCGCUGCCGGUAUCUCUGCUUUGGUGACGCACGGCAACGGCGUGCACGUCGUCCUGUCCCUCAUCGACGCUGCCCUGACGCUCUCUUCGGAGUCUGCGGUGGAGGGGCUGGCGGAGCAGCUUGUCACGCGGCACAAUGUCACGGAUCUUCUGUACCACAAGCACGGCAGCCUCGUGGUGCGUCGCCUCAUGCCUCUCAUCUCCCGCAAGGCUUCCAAGGUGGGCCGCCUUCUGCAAGGCAUGGUGGAGCAGGACUUUUCGAACCUAGUGUACACGGAGGCUGGCAACUUGGUCGUCACGGCCUAUCUCACUGCGCUCGGCAAGUCGGGCGCGUCGUUGCUGGCGCAGAAGCUGGCCGGUGGAGAGGAACUGCUCUCUAUGUGCCGCAGCCCGUACGCAUCACACGUGGUGUUCACUUUGUUUGAGCUGGUGGACCCCACAACGCACACACUUCUGUGCAACGCGCUAAAGGCGCACGUGUUGCCCCUGUCGACACACGUGAACGGUCGCUUCAUUGUGGAGAAGAUGAUCGCCGCCAGCCGCGAUGUGCGCGAGAGCGUGUCGCGCCAGUUUCUCCCCUUAGCCCAGGAGCGAGGCACGCAGCAUGUGCUCUGCGCAUUGCUUGCCAGAAUGGAUGCCCGCGGCAAGCAGGUGUGCGUGGAGAAGACGAUCAUGCCCAACCUCACCGCCCUCGCCACGCACCAGUGCGGUUCGAUUGUGCUGCAGAAGUUGAUGCAAGCGGAGCCGACGGUGCUGUCGGCGGUGCAGCAGCGUCUCUCCGCAAACUCGCUGGUGCGCAGCGACUUGGCGCAGAACUUCUUUGGCAAAUUUGUGGUGCAGAUUGCGCAGCAACCGGAACAGGAGCAACCCCAGUAGCAGGGUGUUGUGAAGAAGAGUUUUACGUGUCAUGGCUUUCUUGUGCCUUUAUGUGUGUUGUGUUUGGUUUAAGCGAACUAAGAUGCCUCUCCAUGUAAGGAGUGAGCAUAUCACAUGCUUCGGUGUUGUGGGUGUGCAAUCAUGUGGCACACGUCUAAUGCGACGGCAAACUAAUAUUUUUCUUCGACUCGCUAUCCCUCUUCUCUCAGCACUUCGGUGGUUCACG